ACGGGUGAGUAAAGCGUAGGAAUCUGCCUUAUAGAGGAGGAUAACUUGGGGAAACUCGAGCUAAUACUGCAUAAGCACUAAGGUGGAAAGCGUGGGACAGUAAUGCCACGUGCUAUAAGAUGAGCCUACGUCGGAUUAGCUAGUUGGUGAGGUAAAGGCUUACCAAGGCAAUGAUCUGUAGCUGGUCUGAGAGGAUGAACAGCCACACUGGGACUGAGACACGGCCCAGACUCCUACGGGAGGCAGCAGUGGGGAAUAUUGGACAAUGGGGGGAACCCUGAUCCAGCAAUGCCGCGUGUGUGAAGAAGGCCUGCGGGUUGUAAAGCACUUUGGUUGGGGAAGAAAGUUGUAAGUUGAAUAGGCUUAUGAUGUGACGUUACCCAAAGAACAAGCACCGGCUAACUCUGUGCCAGCAGCCGCGGUAAUACAGAGGGUGCAAGCGUUAAUCGGAAUUACUGGGCGUAAAGGGCGCGUAGGCGGAUAGAUAAGUUAGGUGUGAAAUGUCUGGGCUUAACCUAGAGAUUGCAUUUAAUACUGUUUGUCUAGAGUAGAGUAGAGGGAAGUGGAAUUUCCGGUG
rnacentral:rRNA from 1 species